CAAGUCGAACGCGAAAGCCCCGCAAGGGGCAAGUAGAGUGGCAAACGGGUGAGUAACGCGUGGGUGACCUGCCUUCGAGCGGGGGAUAACGUUCCGAAAGGGACGCUAAUACCGCAUAACAUCCUGCCCUUGAACGGGUGGAGAUCAAAGCUGGGGAUUCGCAAGAACCCGGCACUUGAAGAGGGGCCCGCGUCUGAUUAGCUAGUUGGUGAGGUAACGGCUCACCAAGGCAACGAUCAGUAUCCGGCCUGAGAGGGCGGACGGACACACUGGGACUGAGACACGGCCCAGACUCCUACGGGAGGCAGCAGUGGGGAAUUGUUCGCAAUGGGCGCAAGCCUGACGACGCAACGCCGCGUGGAGGAUGAAGAUUUUCGGAUCGUAAACUCCUGUCGAAUGGGACGAAAAGAUUGCGGGUUAACAGCCCGUGGUCCUGACGGUACCGUUAAAGGAAACCCCGGCUAACUCCGUGCCAGCAGCCGCGGUAAUACGGGGGGGGUAAGCGUUGUUCGGAAUUACUGGGCGUAAAGGGCUCGUAGGCGGCCAACUAAGUCGGACGUGAAAUCCCUCAGCUUAACUGGGGAACUGCGUCCGAUACUGGAUGGCUUGGAUUUGGGAGAGGGAUGCGGAAUUCCAGGUGUAGCGGUGAAAUGCGUAGAUAUCUGGAGGAACACCGGUGGCGAAGGCGGCAUCCUGGACCAAUAUUGACGCUGAGGAGCGAAAGCCAGGGGAGCAAACGGGAUUAGAUACCCCGGUAGUCCUGGCCCUAAACGAUGAAUGCUUGGUGUGGCGGGUAUCGAUCCCUGCCGUGCCGAAGCUAACGCAUUAAGCAUUCCGCCUGGGGAGUACGGUCGCAAGGCUGAAACU
rnacentral:rRNA from 1 species